UACGGAGGGUGCGAGCGUUAAUCGGAAUUACUGGGCGUAAAGCGUGCGCAGGCGGUUUGUUAAGCGAGAUGUGAAAGCCCCGGGCUCAACCUGGGAACCGCAUUUCGAACUGGCAAACUAGAGUCUUGUAGAGGGGGGUAGAAUUCCAGGUGUAGCGGUGAAAUGCGUAGAGAUCUGGAGGAAUACCGGUGGCGAAGGCGGCCCCCUGGACAAAGACUGACGCUCAGGCACGAAAGCGUGGGUAGCAAACAGG
rnacentral:rRNA from 1 species